UACUGUUUCAUACCAUUUAUUUAACAAUGUCUGACAUUUUAAAGCACACAUUGUUACAACAUCAUUAUUUGGCGUACUCCACAUACUGUUUCACUAUCAAUCCUUAAAAAAUUUAAGUUUUUACAACUUGUACAUACAACAUAUUAAGCUUUCGCAAAAUGCAAUUUAAUUGAAUGAACUUGAAAGAUUUAUUUAAAUAUUUAUUUUCAAUCAGCAGUUAUGGUUAUGUGCCGCUAACCCAAAAACCAAGUUAAGAACAAUUAUUAAAUUAGUUCACCCAAAAGUUGUACAAAACUCUUUCUCUGUUUAAAUUCAAAUAAUAAAAUAGAGCCU